rnacentral:rRNA from 1 species
GACGAACCGUGCGAACGUUGUUCGGAUUCACUGGGCUUAAAGGGCGCGUAGGCGGUCGGCCAAGUCUGGGGUGAAAUCUUUCGGCUCAACCGGAAAAGUGCCCCCGAUACUGGCCGUCUAGGAGGGAGGUAGGGGCAUGUGGAACUUCCGGUGGAGCGGUGAAAUGCGUAGAUAUCGGAAAGAACACCAAGGCGAAAGCACUCUCUGGGCCGACACUG